rnacentral:rRNA from 1 species
AUUGAACGCUGGCGGCAUGCCUUACACAUGCAAGUCGAACGGCAGCGCGGGGCAACCUGGCGGCGAGUGGCGAACGGGUGAGUAAUAUAUCGGAACAUACCCUAGAGUGGGGGAUAACGUAGCGAAAGUUACGCUAAUACCGCAUACGCACUAAGGUGGAAAGUGGGGGAUCUUCGGACCUCAUGCUCAUGGAGUGGCCGAUAUCUGAUUAGCUAGUUGGUGAGGUAAAGGCUCACCAAGGCGACGAUCAGUAGCUGGUUUGAGAGAACGACCAGCCACACUGGAACUGUGACACGGUCCAGACUCCUACGGGAGGCAGCAGUGGGGAAUUUUGGACAAUGGGGGCAACCCUGAUCCAGCAAUGCCGCGUGAGUGAAGAAGGCCU